GACGAACGCUGGCGGCGUGCCUAAUACAUGCAAGUCGAACGCACCUUUCCUCACCAUGGCUUUCUCUCGAUAGGGACGGAGGGGGGCGGACCACUUAGUAACACUACCGUAACCUAUCCAUUAGAGUCGGAAAACCGUAGCUAACACGGGCUAAUGCCUCAAAACACAUGAUGCCACAGUGCAAAAGGGUGUAACGCUCUCUUGUAGGUCGCUGAGGGAUGCAUCCGCGCUGCAUUAGCUAGUUGGCUAGGUAACGGCUCACCAAGGCGACGAUGCAUAGCCGACCUGAGAGGGUGAUCGGCCACACUGGAACUGAGACACGGCCCAGACUCCUACGGGAGGCAGCAGUAGGGAAUCUUCGGCAAUGGGCGAAAGUCUGACCGAGCAACGCCGCGUGAGUGAUGAAGGUCUUCGGAUCGUAAAACUCUGUUAUUAGGGAAGAACAAAGGCGUAAGUAACUGAACAUCUCCUGACGGUACCUAACCAGAAAGCCACGGCUAACUACGUG
rnacentral:rRNA from 1 species